AUCGUGAGCGGGAACCCUGUUGCCAUCCCUCCGAACCCCUGCCAGGAUGGCACCAUCUCGCCACCCGACUUCCACGUGGAGAUUCUGGUGGCCACGGUUGGCCCUGCGGGGAGCCCUCCGGAAGCCUUCGGGUCUUCUGCAAAUCCAGAGUUCUGGUGCUUCCCACAACAUAUGAGCAACAUCCAGAUGAUCUUCACCUUUGAAAAUGCCCAGCAACCCCCCUUGUCUCCUGAGCCACCAACUGCCCCAGAGCUGGCGAGGGCCUUCUGCAAACGGCUGAAGGAACAUUUCUGCAGGCAGUGCCAGUCGGCGCCCCAGCAGCUCUUAGGGCAUCUUUACCUCGAGGGGGCCUUGGUGCGGCAUCGUCCAGAUGG